rnacentral:lncRNA from 1 species
UCUCAAAUAAAAAUAGGAUUUGGUCCCUUAUCUGACUAGGGUCCUUUGAAGACGUCCAAGUUUAUCCAGUAGCCAGUAUCCUAGAGGCAUGUAUAGAACUUCAGCAGCAAUAAGAAACUCAUACAGAAGAUACAGAAGAGAACCGGAAAGCACAGUGAUAUUGAAGAGUUUUAUGAAAUGGAUUGUUAAUAGUAUAAUAGGAAGUUGAGGAUGUCUAACAAAAGAUGGUUGGAUUGUAAGUACUUUCAGAGAAGAUAAAUUUUUUUUGUCCUAUUAAAGAUAAUGUAAGUUAAUAUUCCUAUUGACUUAUAG